rnacentral:rRNA from 1 species
UACGUAGGUGGCAAGCGUUGUCCGGAUUUACUGGGCGUAAAGAGCGCGCAGGCGGUCGUUCAAGUCGCGUGUGAAAGCCCCCGGCUCAACUGGGGAGGGUCACGCGAUACUGAUCGACUCGAAGGCAGGAGAGGGUAGUGGAAUUCCCAGUGUAGUGGUGAAAUGCGUAGAUAUCGGGAGGAACACCAGUGGCGAAGGCGACUUCCUGGCCUGUUCUUGACGCUGAGGCGCGAAAGCUAGGGGAGCAAACGGG